GGCAGCAGUGAGGAAUAUUGGUCAAUGGAGGCAACUCUGAACCAGCCAUGCCGCGUGAAGGAUGAAUGCCCUAUGGGUUGUAAACUUCUUUUAUUGGGGAAGAAACCUUUCUACGUGUAGAGAGCUGACGGUACCCAAGGAAUAAGGACCGGCUAACUCCGUGCCAGCAGCCGCGGUAAUACGGAGGGUCCGAGCGUUAUCCGGAAUCAUUGGGUUUAAAGGGUGCGCAGGCGGUAAAGUAAGUCAGUGGUGAAAUCCUGCAGCUCAACUGCAGAACUGCCAUUGAUACUGCUAUACUUGAAUAUAGUCGAAGUGGGCGGAAUGUGACAUGUAGCGGUGAAAUGCUUAGAUAUGUCACAGAACACCGAUAGCGAAGGCAGCUCACUAGACUAAAAUUGACGCUCAUGCACGAAAGCGUGGGGAGCGAACAGGAUUAGAUACCCUGGUAGUCCACGCUGUAAACUAUGAUUACUCGUUCUCGGCGAUAUACGGUCGGGGACUAAGCGAAAGUGAUAAGUAAUCCACCUGGGGAGUACGGUCGCAAGAUUGAAACUCAAAGGAAU
rnacentral:rRNA from 1 species